CUGGAAUUAAAAAGGUUUUGAAACACACUUUGUAACAGUAUAUAUAUGUACAUAUAUAUUUGUGUGGUCAUACAGGUUUUGACAAAAAGAGUUAAAUACAAAAAGUUGGCAUUUGGUAAAGUAUUGAGAAUGUAAAAUCCAGAAAGUAUAGUAGCAUAGAAAUGAUAUACUCCCGAUUUAAGGAGAAAGAUGCACUAAAUCCUGCUGGGGGUGUUGAAAAUGCUAAUGCUAUAAAGUCAGGCAAACAUCUUAAUUUUUAUCAUGUUUUACUUUUUCACAAGCAGGAAUUCUAGGCUUUUCUACAUGAUGCAUGAGGAUUGGAACAGAAAGGGAGAAAAAAUAGAAGAAAGAGCACUCCAAAACAAAGCAGGGUUCUAUCAUCUGUACACAUUCAACAUGGAAACUGGAAGGCUGCCAGGGCUUAGGAUGAGAGACCAACUGUGUGUGCUUGAGUAAAGGGCUCUCUCUCUGAGAACCACAGCAGUGGCCUGAGAGCCGGCCUGUGUCAGAUGACUGGAAAUGAAGCCUGGCAUAAGCAGGACAUUUGCUUGGUUUCUACAUUAAGCAAGAACUCUGGAACAGGAUUACAACACUUAGGGACAAAUACGAAUAAAAUCAAUUGUGUUACCAAA